UUUCAUAGAAACGUGUUUGAUUGCUAUUUAAAAAACUUCUUAGUACCUAAAUAUCUCUGUUGCAGCUGGCAUGGAUUCAUCAUACUCCUUGGCUCCACUGGCUACUGUCAGGUCAAGAUGUGUUUCAUUACCAAAGCAUGCCUUCUUACAAGAACUAUAGUGGAAACUAGACCCUCACAUAGAUUCUCUGUCCAUAACCAUCCAAUAUAAACAUUAACCUAAGUAAAUGAGAAUGACUAGCUUGUAACUUGACAAAGAAUAAAUCAAAAGGUAAUUUAAAAGGACAUGACAGAAUAUCAAUUAGCAUAUAAAAGGUGGAGGGUUUAGAAGAAUUAUCAGAAAAAUAAAGACAUGUCUUCAUACUAAGGCAAUAAUAGAUAUGACUUACACUGAUAAACCUAGAUUACCAUUCCAUGUGAAUGGUUGAUAACAAACAGGACAAGCUAAAAUGCUCUUGCUGAUGCUAACCUCCUUUUCAACUGAAAUAGAAUCCUGAACAUAAGAAAUAAGAUACAAUAUAUUGUGUCAUGACAGGAAAAAUUAAUUAUUUCGUAAUUCCUCAUGUGAAUUGACUGUAAUUGAAAAAAUAAAAAGACAUCAUCUCAUUAGUACCAUAUGAUAAUUUUCCUCACAUUUUCCCUCAAAAUUUCCAAAAACCAAACAUAGGGAAAAAAGAAAAGAAAUUAAAGCAUAAAAGAUGAAUUUGGUUGUAUAGAAUUUGCAGCCUUGGAAUUGAUAAUUUUCCCCUUUUGUGGUGGAUGCCCCAGUGUCAAGUCCACCGUUUGGUUGUUUUCUAUACCAACUGGAUUUCUAGUUGAAUUUAAAAGCCAUAAACCCAAAUUCCCCAAGAACAAGUAAGCAACUCCAAGAUAAAAGCCGGUUCUCCAGUUCCGUAAAAAUUGAACUUUAAACCAAAUCCAAUUCUACCUAACCAAAUGCAGCCUAAUUCUUUAAGAACCAUAAAAGAAUAAUGAAUGAAUCAAGAAUGGACAAAUACAUUGAAAAAAAAAAUCAGGGGCAAUACAAAUUCUCAAAAAAAACUAAUCAUAAAGAAUCACAUAUGAAUUAAAACAAUUCCUAUGAAUCUGUUUUAUGCUCGAUUGACCAAAAAAAUAUAACAGUAGAACUUGCUUUGUCUCUCACGUAUGUUCAUUGCACAUGCGCACACAGUUACCAAUUGACACAGCCACCAAUUGCAAUGGAAAAUGGGGGCUGGUGGUUUUGGGGAGUGGAGGAAUUUAUUUUAAAAGGGACUUUCAACAUGCACAGAAGGAGAUGGGAAUAAAAAAAAAAUGGAAAGAUAAGGGGUGAGAAGACACAACCGAGAAGGAGGAUGUCUUUGUGGAUGGAGAAAACACACAACUGGAACUCUCCAUUACCAGCCACAAGAAAAGUAAAAAAAUGUGACCAAAACAGGGCAUAAAUGGGUAAAUCAAAAUGAACAAAACCCACAUUUCAUGCCUAAUCAACAAAUCAAGAACAGAGUAGAACAGAGCAUGUACGCGUGAACCGUGUUUCUUCUCCACUACAACCCAUAAAAUUAGGGCACGAUUUGAAACUCGACCAACAUCAGAACACUUGCAAUAAAUGAUGAAUAUGGAGUUGAAAGAGUGGAUAAUCACCUGAUUUGUCGCUCGUUGGUGGAAUUUGUAAGAGAAUAAUGGAGUUUCAGUGGUUAUUCUCUGUUAUGAGAGUCACAAAAUGGAGAUUCAAAAAUGAUCUCCAGUUUUUAAUACUCAAGAUCUCACACUAAGGCUUGGAAACACACCGUCUAGCUAGAUCUCCAAUGUCAAGAGCCUCAUCUGGAGUCAUUGAUCAAUGUUGAUUGCGGUUAACUGGGCUCCUAGGGUUUUUCGGGGUUUUGCAAAAAUGGAGGGAAUGUUUGGCACUAUGAGGUCGUGGGUAAGAAUGGGAAAUUUUUUAGCCAUAUAUAAAGGUGUUGUUUUAAUGUCACUUUUAUAGAGCGCCAAGGUAAAAAUUGAUAAAUGAAGACGCUUAUAUAAAACGUCGUGCUAUAGGAAGCGCCAUCAUCC
rnacentral:lncRNA from 1 species